CUAAAAAAAACCCCAAAGGAGUUGAAAAUUCCCCUUGGAGAGUGUCAGCAGGCAUCCAGAAUACAUCUCCAGGGUCACUUAAUUCCCUGGAUCCUACCCAACUAUUAUUGAAGUUAAUUGAAAAAAACUCUCAUUGCCUUGAAGAGGUUUUGGAUCCAACUCAAAUGGCUCAGUGGGAGCAGAUUACAAGUAGGAACCCCACUGUGCAAUUCCAGCCAUCUGCCUAUGGGAGGGAUGCCUGUCUUCACUGUCAUGGUGUCUCCAAAACCUGUGCAAGAUUUCUGAUCUGCUUCAGUGCUAAGGAUGAUUUAAAUGAAUCUGUGUUACUCUGAAUGAAAACAAAUUGGGAGUUCUUGCAUGAGGCACCAAGCUUUCAGAAGCCAUACGCCCACAAACACCCACCAAGCUGUCUCCAUCCUCCUCUGCGAAAGAAAGAAAUUGCUGCUGAGAAAUGAUGAGAAGAGCUGCUUGCAAAGAGAUGAGGCUGAGUAAAAUGCAGCAGGACAUGGGAGUGUGCUCAUGGCUUCUCAUUAGUGGAGGAAUCUGUACAGAAUAUCACAGCAUACACAGGCUCAUGUGACAGCUCCUGCACCUCCAGGCUGUAAUACAGUCAAGCUGGGAGGACACAAAAGCAAGAAAUUUUGCUUUACUCUCCUAAUAUUUUUUUCAGCAGGUUUUAACUUACACAGUCUCUCACAAUAUACUGACAACUACCUUCAAAGAUGAUAUUUUAAGUGAAAUCAAAUUGCUUUGUGAGAGAAGGUUUUGUGGCUAUAUUUUCAAGCCAGAAUUUUAAAAAUACGAAGCCAAAAAGCAUUUCAUUCUAUGUUAUCUAUUUUAAUGUAAAAAAAACCCUCACCCACUAACAAACCCAGCCCUGGUCUCUGUUUUCUACAGGAAGCAGUAUUAGUUUGAUCUAGUUUUGUGGUUUGUUUCUGUUUGAUUUUUUUUGGGGGGUUUCAGCAGUGAUUUAUUCAGUUACAGGAAAGUAUAAAGCUGCUGUUAUUUACAGAAAAAUGAAACAAAUGUUUGUAGUAGAAUCAUAGAUUUUUAUUUUCAGAAAUGUAUCCAGUAAACACUAUGAAGCAUUGAUACAUACAUCAAAGCAAGAAAAUUAUACAGGCUCUUACAGACUGUACGGAACAGAUGCUAAGUAGGCUCGUAAAGGAUUUUGAACAGUAUAUAUUUGACCUUAGAAAAUGCAUAAAUAAAAAUGCAAUAAAAAAACCUAAAAGGAAUAAAGCAUUUACAUCUUGUCUGCUUUGUUACCAUGGUCCUGUUUCAGAAAAACUCUUGUGUUUAUGAGAGAUUACAAUUUCUAAUGACAUCCUUGGUAAAAAGAACCACUAUACUAUUCUUUAAAAGAUUUGUUAUUUUCCCAGUGAAGUCCAUGGGAUUUUACCUUUGCAAGACAUGUAAACCAAUAAUUAGCUAUACUCGUGUCUGCAUAAGCUGCGUAUCGUGGCUGCUGAAAUGAGAGAAAUAUAGGCUGAAAUGAACUGAACUGUCUUUCUCUUAAAAUUAGUAAGAUUGACAUCAAGUGGUGGAUUUGUCACUGUACUGCAUGUUCUGAUAAGCAGAACUUCUUUACCUCAACUGUGUACAACAUAAUUUUUUUUCUAUUUUUAAACAUUAAUCUAUAAAUAGGCUCUCUAAUGCU